AGGCAGCAGUGAGGAAUAUUGGUCAAUGGGCGAGAGCCUGAACCAGCCAAAUCGCGUGAAGGAUGAAGGUAUUAUGUAUUCUAAACUUCUUUUAUAGGGGAAUAAAGUGCACCACGUGUGGUGUUUUGUAUGUACCCUAGGAAUAAGGAUCGGCUAACUCC
rnacentral:rRNA from 1 species